AAUCAACGCUGGCGGCGUGCCUAACACAUGCAAGUCGAACGCGAAAGUGGGGGCAACUCCAUGAGUAGAGUGGCAGACGGGUGAGUAACACGUGGGUAACCUACCCUGAAGUGAGGAAUAACCUGCCGAAAGGCGGGCUAAUACCGCAUAACAUCCUCGGAACGCAGGUUCUGGGGAUCAAAGCCCCCAAAGGGCGCUCCAGGAGGGACCCGCGCCUGAUUAGCUAGUUGGUAGGGUAACGGCCUACCAAGGCUCCGAUCAGUAGCCGGCCUGAGAGGGUGAACGGCCACACUGGAACUGAGACACGGUCCAGACUCCUACGGGUGGCUG
rnacentral:rRNA from 1 species